GGUUAAGCGACUAAGCGUACACGGUGGAUGCCCUGGCAGUCAGAGGCGAUGAAGGACGUGCUAAUCUGCGAUAAGCGCCGGUAAGGUGAUAUGAACCGUUAUAACCGGCGAUUUCCGAAUGGGGAAACCCAGUGUGACUCGUCACACUAUCAUUAACUGAAUCCAUAGGUUAAUGAGGCGAACCGGGGGAACUGAAACAUCUAAGUACCCCGAGGAAAAGAAAUCAACCGAGAUUCCCCCAGUAGCGGCGAGCGAACGGGGAGGAGCCCAGAGCCUGAAUCAGCAUGUGUGUUAGUGGAAGCGUCUGGAAAGGCGCGCGAUACAGGGUGACAGCCCCGUACACAAAAGCGCAUGUGCUGUGAGCUCGAUGAGUAGGGCGGGACACGUGGUAUCCUGUCUGAAUAUGGGGGGACCAUCCUCCAAGGCUAAAUACUCCUGACUGACCGAUAGUGAACCAGUACCGUGAGGGAAAGGCGAAAAGAACCCCGGCGAGGGGAGUGAAAAAGAACCUGAAACCGUGUACGUACAAGCAGUGGGAGCCCCACCACUAAGCCAGUGGUGAACUCCACAUACGCAUCCUUUGCUGAGGAUACGGUUAACGGAGCGAAAGCGACGUUCAACCGCAAAAGAAGCAGAGGGGGCUUAGUGGUGGGGUGACUGCGUACCUUUUGUAUAAUGGGUCAGCGACUUAUAUUCUGUAGCAAGGUUAACCGAAUAGGGGAGCCGGAGGGAAACCGAGUCUUAAUUGGGCGUUAAGUUGCAGGGUAUAGACCCGAAACCCGGUGAUCUAGCCAUGGGCAGGUUGAAGGUUGGGUAACACUAACUGGAGGACCGAACCGACUAAUGUUGAAAAAUUAGCGGAUGACCUGUGGCUGGGGGUGAAAGGCCAAUCAAACCGGGAGAUAGCUGGUUCUCCCCGAAAGCUAUUUAGGUAGCGCCUCGUGAAUUCAUCUCCGGGGGUAGAGCACUGUUUCGGCUAGGGGGCCAUCCCGGCUUACCAACCCGAUGCAAACUGCGAAUACCGGAGAAUGUUAUCACGGGAGACACACGGCGGGUGCUAACGUCCGUCGUGAAGAGGGAAACAACCCAGACCGCCAGCUAAGGUCCCAAAGUCAUGGUUAAGUGGGAAACGAUGUGGGAAGGCCCAGACAGCCAGGAUGUUGGCUUAGAAGCAGCCAUCAUUUAAAGAAAGCGUAAUAGCUCACUGGUCGAGUCGGCCUGCGCGGAAGAUGUAACGGGGCUAAACCAUG
rnacentral:rRNA from 1 species